rnacentral:rRNA from 1 species
GACGAACCGAGCGAACGUUAUUCGGAAUCACUGGGCUUAAAGGGUGCGUAGGCGGGCUGUCAAGUCUGGGGUGAAAUCCUUCGGCUCAACCGGAGAACUGCCUCAGAUACUGAUGGCCUCGAGGGGGGUAGGGGCAUGCGGAACUGUAGGUGGAGCGGUGAAAUGCGUUGAUAUCUACAGGAACUCCGGUGGCGAAAGCGGCGUGCUGGACCCCUUCUGACGCUGAGGCACGAAAGCCAGGGGAGCAAACGGG